AGAUUGAACUGAAGAGUUUGAUCCUGGCUCAGAUUGAACGCUGGCGGGAUGCCUUACACAUGCAAGUCGAACG
rnacentral:rRNA from 1 species